AGAGUUUGAUCAUGGCUCAGGAUGAACGCUAGCGGCGGGCCUAAUACAUGCAAGUCGAGGGGCAGCACGAGUAGCAAUACUUGGUGGCGACCGGCGCACGGGUGCGUAACGCGUAUGCAACCUACCCAUAACACGGGAAUAGCCCGAAGAAAUUCGGAUUAAUACUCGAUAGUAUCACUUGAUGGCAUCUGAAGGUGAUUAAAGAUUUAUCGGUUAUGGAUGGGCAUGCGUCUGAUUAGCUAGUUGGUGAGGUAACUGCUCACCAAGGCUACGAUCAGUAGGGGUUCUGAGAGGAUGAUCCCCCACACCGGUACUGAGACACGGACCGGACUCCUACGGGAGGCAGCAGUAAGGAAUAUUGGUCAAUGGACGCAAGUCUGAACCAGCCACGCCGCGUGCAGGAAGACGGCCCUAUGGGUUGUAAACUGCUUUUGUUUGGGAAGAAACCCCUUUUGCGAAAGGGACUGACGGUACCAGACGAAUAAGCACCGGCUAACUCCGUGCCAGCAGCCGCGGUAAUACGGAGGGUGCAAGCGUUAUCCGGAUUUAUUGGGUUUAAAGGGUGCGUAGGCGGCCUGUUAAGUCAGAGGUGAAAGUCGGUAGCUCAACUAUCGAAUUGCCUUUGAUACUGGCAGGCUUGAAUGAAGUUGAAGAGGGCGGAAUGUGACAUGUAGCGGUGAAAUGCUUAGAUAUGUCCCAGAACACCGAUUGCGAAGGCAGCUCUCUAAGCUUGUAUUGACGCUGAUGCACGAAAGCGUGGGGAUCAAACAGGAUUAGAUACCCUGGUAGUCCACGCCGUAAACGAUGAUCACUCGCUGUUGGCGAUACACAGUCAGCGGCCAAGCGAAAGCGAUAAGUGAUCCACCUGGGGAGUACGAUCGCAAGGUUGAAACUCAAAUGAAUUGACGG
rnacentral:rRNA from 1 species